GCCCCCCAUGCCGUCGUCGUCGCCGGCGAUGGCACUCCAGCAGCACCCACCGCCGCCGCAGGAGCUCGACCUGGAGUCCUUCCUCCCGUCUUCUCCCACCUCAUCCUCAUCCUCAGCCUCCGACGCCGACCACCGCCGCGCCGUCGACGACCUGCUCCUCCUCCACUCCUCGUCGGACUCCGACUCCGACGAGCCAACACACAGCCCCAAAACCCUAGCCCGCACCAAAGCCCCGCCGCCGGCCCCUAAACCUUCCCCUCCCCCUUCCCCCGGGAGAUCCACAUCCGCCUCGCCGUCGCCGACGCUCUCCUCCCUGGUCUCGAGAACCUUCUCGAACAGCGCUGCGUCCUCGUCGAGGCAACUCCCGUCGCUCUUCCGGGGCGUCCGCCCCAGCCCCAAACCCGGCGCGGCCCUCGCUGCGGCCGCCGCCGCAUCCCGCGCUGUCCUCACCCCGCACGCCGCGGCGAUUAAGUCACGCCGCACCGCCUCCGCGCCCAUCGAGAAGCUCCUCCACGAGGGCUCCGGCUCCGGCUCCGAAGCCUCCGAGGGGAUCCCAUCCGCUGGAAAUUCGGAAGCAGAGGUAGUGGCAGAGAAGGUCAGUGAGGAAGUGGUUGCUAGGGUGACCGAGGAAAAUGUCGGUGGAAGUAGUAGGACUGAAGAGUUGGAAGAGGGCAAGCAUGUGGAGGUGGGGAUUGAAGAGAACUCCAAGCCCUCGGAAUCGGUGGAGGCAGGUGAUGUUGAUUCUGUUGCUGCCGAGAAUGUCAUUGAACCUGAGCAAGUUGAGGAUGACAAUUUGGCAGAAAUCAAUGCCGGGAGUCAAAUUGGGCUUGUUGAUGAGGAAAACUUUGAUGAGGAAACAGGAGACGAAUAUUUAGUGGCAUCUGAUGAGAUUGUGGAUCAAGUUGAGGCUGUUUCCGAGGAGAAGACCGUUGAUGAGCUGGAGUUUGAUCGGUCUGACACUGAUUCGGUAGAGCAAGUGGAUUCGGAGAGCGUCAUUGACAAGGUGAUCGAAGAGAGGUUGGAGAUCAGCAGGAAGGCUGAAAAAACUACGGAGAAGAAGCCCAAGGUGUCGAUGAAACCAUUGGAGUGGGCGGAGGAGCUCGAGAAGAGGCAGGCCUCGUUCGGGCAACAUUGGGAGGAGGGAGCAGCAGCACAACCCAUGCGCCUGGAGGGGAUUGGAAAGGGCCAACCAGCAAUUGGUUACAUGCAGAUUGAGGUGGACAACCCAAUAACUCGUGCCAUGGCCACCCCGUCAUUUCGCAAGGACCAUGGCUCUCCCCACGUGUUAGCAGCACAUAGGAGCUACCUAGCGAUGGGCAUGUCCAAUGGAUCUGUUAUUAUCGUCCCAAGCAAAUACUCCAUCCAUCAACCUGAUGAUACAGAUGCAAAGAUGCUGUUCUUUUGGAAUCAAGGUGAGAAAACUCAAUCACCAGUGACUGCCAUGUGCUUUAACCCGCAAGGGGAUCUUCUGCUAGUAGGAUAUGGUGAUGGCCAUAUGACAAUUUGGGAUGUACAGAAGGCUACUGCAGCAAAAGUCAUAUAUGGCGAGCAUACAGCACCUGUAGUGCAUGUUUGUUUUAUCCGCCAAUCUAAAGCCAUCACUGGAGAUUCAAAAGGGCAUGUUCUUUUGCACACAUUCUCGAUCAUCCCCGUCAUUAAUCGCUUGACUAUCAAGGGAACCCAGCGCCUUUUUGACGGAAAUGGUGGAAUGGUGCACUCAGCCUGUCCUCUUCUAGCGGAUGAAUCCUUUGGUUCUACCAACUCAUCUGCCCAGGGCAACCUAACAACUUCCUCGGGUGGUGGUCUUGGGAGCAUGAUGGGAGGUGUAGUUGGAGGAGAUUCUGGAUGGAAGUUUUUCAACGAAGGUUCUUCUCCAAUGGAGGAUGGUGUUACAGUCUUGUUCAAUAUGCAUCAACAUGCUCUUGUGGUUAGACUCCGUACCAACAUUGAUCACGUUGACCAUAUUGAGACCUUCUCUAGACCAGAAGGAGCACGAGAAGGGUCAAUUUCUUAUGCUGCAUGGAAAUGGACAUCAUCCUUGGGUGAUUCGUCGCCAGUCGAUGAAGAACGAGUAUCAUGGCUUGCGCUUGCAUGGGACCGUCAAGUGCAAGUUGCAAAAUAUGUGAAAUCAAAGAUGAUCAAACAUAAGGAAUGGAAGCUUGAUAGUGCAGCCAUUGGUGUUGCCUGGUUAAAUGAUCAGAUGUUAGCUGUCCUUAAUCUGAGAGGGCAGCUUUGUUUGUUCUCAAAAGAUGGCAGUGAGCUUCGCAGGACUAUCUUUGUUCUUGAUGGUUUUAUCUUUGAUGACAGCAUACUGUUCCAUACACAUUUUUUGAACAAGUUUGGUAUUCCUGAAAGGCAUUUUAAUAACUCAGUAGCAGUAAGAGGUGCUACAGUAUAUAUUCUUGGCCCAAGCUUUCUUACAGUUUCGCGACUUCUUCCAUGGAAAGAGCGGAUUGAAGCACUAAAGAGGGCUGGUGAUUGGAUGGGUGCACUGGACAUGGCAAUGAAGCUUUAUGACGGUCAUACACAGGGUGUUGUUGAUCUCCCGAGAACAGUUGAUUCUAUAAGAGAAGCCAUAAUGCCAUAUUUAGUAGAGUUGCUGCUGUCAUAUAUAGGUUAUGUCUUCGAGUAUAUCUCAAUUGCAUUGUCAAACCAUACUGGAAAAGGGGAAGCAACAGAUGGCCUGAUAGACGCUGAUAGAUCCCUGCUGACACAGAGAGAGGAACAGUAUGCUCGUGUAGGAGGGGUUGCAGUUGAGUAUUGUGUUCACAUUGGAAGGAAUGACAUCCUAUUUGAUACAGUAUUUUCGAAGUUUGUUGCUGCACAAAGUGGAGGCAUGUUUCUGGAGGUACUGGAGCCAUAUAUACUGAAAGAUAUGCUUGGUUCUUUACCCCCUGAGAUCAUGCAAGCUCUUGUUGAACAUUACAGUGGCAAAGGAUGGUUGCAGCGAGUCGAACAAUGCAUUCUUCAUAUGGAUAUUUCUUCACUGGAUUUUAAUCAGGUAGUCAGACUGUGUCGUGAACAUGGGUUAUAUGGUGCUCUUAUUUAUUUAUUUAACCAAGGCUUGAAUGAUUUUCGUACACCUCUAGAGGAACUUCUAUCUGUUAUCCAGAGCGUUGCUAGAAAAGAUGCUACUGCUACUUGCUACAGAAUGCUUGUUUAUCUGAAGUAUUGCUUCCAAGGCCUAGCAUUUCCUCCAGGGCAUGGAAUAAUUCCCCGAGGCCGUCUUCAUUCAGUGAGAAAAGAACUUCUGGAAUUCAUGCUUGAGGAAUCUAAAAUGCUCACUUCUGAAAUAUGUAAGGGGUUCAGUUCUUCUUGUGGGAAAUGCCCAAACAUAUGCUAUCUACUAUGGAUGGAUACGGAAGCUACUUUGGAAGUUGUCAAGUGUGCUUUUGAGCAAGAGAGUUUUGAGCAUACUUCUGGCACUCUUGAUACAUCUGUGUCCAAGGACGAGGAUAAUAAUAAUAUUGGAAGCCCAGAUAGUCAAAAUGUUUUGUUACAAAGUGUAGUUGACAUCAUCGUUCAUAUUGUUGGUUUAGAAAAUGAGGCGAUCCAUUCCAUUGUUGUGGGCACUGCUGAGUCAGAAGAAUCAGAACUUUGGCCUUCAGUGAAUGACUUUGGUUACAUAAUUGAAUUUGUGUCCUGUUUUGUUUCCCGUAAAAGGGCAAAUGCAUCUCAAAGAGUUCUUAAGCACAUUCUUAAAUACCUUUCAUCAUCCAGUACUCCAUCAUAUGACGAUAACAAGAUGCUAAGUCAGAAAGAAGUUCUUCAGCUCUUCAAUGUGGUUCCUCAAACUGACUGGAAUUCUGAUUAUGUGUUGCAUCUCUGUUUAGAAGCCACUUUUCACCAGGCCUGUGGCAUGAUAUAUACAGCCAGAAAUCAACAUUUGGCUGCUUUAGAUAGUUACAUGAAGGAUACAGUGGAACCAUACCACGCUUUUGUCUUCAUCAACAAAAAGUUACUUCAAUUGGCAGGUGAUGAAGCUUUGGCAUUUCGUUCCACAGUAAUAUCCCGUUUUUCUGAGCUAGUCAAUCUAAGCAGGGAGUGUGCAUUUGUCUUGGUGAUUGAUCAUUUUCACGAUGAGAUCCAGCAAAUAUUGUCAGAGCUUCAUUCUGAUCACCGCAGCCUCUUUCUUUUCUUGAAAACUGCAAUUGAAGUACACUUGUCAGGAAAACUUGACUUGAGUGAACUUACUGCCAGAAACUAUCAAACUGUUGAACGUCGCUACUUUUCUGGCGAACUUGAAGAUUAUCUGCAUAGAUUAUCAAAUCUACCGAAGUUGUUUGACCGCAAUCCUGUUUCUAUGACUGAUGAGUUAGUUGAACUCUAUCUGGAGCUUUUGUGUCAGUACGAAUCAAGGUCAGUUCUGAAGUUUCUGGAGACUUUCGAUAGCUAUAGAUUGGAGAAGUGUUUGCAUCUUUGUCUACAUUAUGGAGUUACAGAUGCUGCUGCAUUUUUGCAAGAGAGGGUUGGUGAUGUUGGUAGUGCACUGGCACUUGUUCUAGCUGGACUCGAUGACAAAAUCAGCUACUUUGUUGCUUCGGUGGAAAAUCUGUUCUCCCCGAUAUCUUCAAAAAGUAUCUCUGGAAUUGAGAAACCAGAAACUGUUCUAAAAAUGAGUGAGGCUCAUCCGGUGCUUGAUGUGCUACAUUCCUCCAUUGGAUUGUGCCAAAGGAAUUCACAGCGCCUAGACCCAGAGGAGUCUCAGCUACUUUGGUUUCAACUGCUUGACUCCUUCUCGGAUCCACUGAAAAAGUUAUAUGGAAACAAAGUUGUAAAUGGAAAAGGUUCUUGGCCUGAGGGGCGUGAAACGACAAAUGGACAUCCAACAGGCAAAGGAUUCUCACAACAAAUAGUGAAUUCAAGUAACCAAAGGUGUUUGAAUACUUUGCGGAGAGUAUUCUCACAAUUCGUUGGAGAGAUAAUCGAGGCAAUGGCUGGGUAUAUACCCCUACCAGCAAUUAUGGCAAAGCUAUUAUCUGACAAUGGGAGUCAAGAGUUUGGUGACUUUAAACUUGUCAUACAUAGAAUGCUGUCUAUGUAUCUUUAUGAAAAACGAAUACUGGAAACAGCCAAGUCAGUUAUUGAGGAUGAUUCAUUCUAUAGCUUGAGCUUAUUAAAGAGAGGGGUUUGUCACGGAUUUGCUCCACAGACUUUUGUCUGCUGUGUAUGCAACUGCUCACUUUCUAAAGAAGAUGCUAUUUCAGCAGUUCGAGUAUUCAGUUGUGGACAUGCAACACAUCUUCACUGUGAGUCUGAGCAAAGCAAAUCAUCCAACAAGGAUUCCAAAGAUGGAUGUCCAAUUUGUCUCUCGAUGAGUAACACACAAACCCAGAACAAAUCACCUAUAAUAUCUGAGAAUGGGCUACCCAAGUAUCCUGUGGUUGAAAAUGAAGUAUCGUAUGGCAUCCAUCAUAAUCAUGAGUCAGAACAUGUUGAAAAAUCUCGUGGGAUUCAGCAGAUGUCACGGUUUGAGAUGCUGAAUAAUCUUCAGAAAGCACAGAAGUCUUUUCAUAUUGAAACUGUACCUCCAUUGAAACUUUCUCCACCAGCCAUAUAUCAUGAAAAGAUACAGAAGAGAGUGAGUUUGGUGGGAGAAUCCAGCAGGCAUUCUGUUAGAAGUGAAAAACAACAGAAAAUAUGGCAGAUGAAGGAGCCAAAAUCAAAGAAAUCAGGGAAUUGGCUUCCGCCAAAGUCAAGCAUAUUCAGUUCUGACAAGAACCAAGUGCGGUAGACUAAUGAUUGCACGGUGAGAAGUGUGCACUAUUCCCAGAUUGAUUUGCUUCAAGAAUGAAGCACUGAACACCCUCCUUGUUCUGUGCAGCAACCAGACUCUUCCUCUCCACAAUGGCUGUCGAAAGCUCCACAAAAUUUACCAAUGUGCUUGAGCUGUUUGGCAUCACAAAAUUCCCAUCUUGGUGAUGCAUCCAAGUGGUUUGGACUAGUAUGAUUCUUCUCACGAUUUGAUGUUCGAAGAUUGCUUUGAGCAACGGGAAGAAUCAUAAAGGAAGCGAGAUGAUACAUGCGACCCCAUGACUGUAAAGGCUGUAAAUUAGAAGACUGAUAAGAAACAAUUUUUUUGAAGCAGGAGCAUACGGUUGACUAACAUGGUCCACACACCAGUUAAUUGUAGAUGACUUGGUUCAUUCGUUGUAACGCAGGGAUGUAUAGUUGCUAGUUGGUACAGAGUGAUAGUUUGAUAGAUCCAACUGAUGUACAGAGGCCCGUUAUGCAAUUCAUUGUAAAACAUGUUUCGUUAGAAGCUGUUGUAAAAUAUUCAGAUGCUCAGACGUAACCAAUAUUUCCUGCGAAAGAAAUAGUUCUAAUCUAAA